GACGAACCGUCCAACCGUUGUUCGGAAUCACUGGGCUUAAAGGGCGCGUAGGCGGGCUAUCAAGUCCGGGGUGAAAUCCUCCAGCUUAACUGGAGAACGGCCUCGGAUACUGAUGGUCUCGAGGGGGGUAGGGGCACGCGGAACUGUGGGUGGAGCGGUGAAAUGCGUUGAUAUCCAUAGGAACUCCGGUGGCGAAGGCGGCGUGCUGGACCUCUUCUGACGCUGAGGCGCGAAAGCCAGGGGAGCAAACGGG
rnacentral:rRNA from 1 species